GUGGGGGAUAACUAGUCGAAAGACUAGCUAAUACCGCAUACGAUCUACGGAUGAAAGUGGGGGAUCUUAAGACCUCAUGCUCCUGGAGGGGCCGAUAUCUGAUUAGCUAGUUGGUGGGGUAAAAGCCUACCAAGGCAACGAUCAUUAGCUGGCCUGAGAGGAGGACCAGCCACACUGGGACUGAGACCCGGCCCAGACUCCUCCGGGAGGCAGCAGUGGGGAAUUUUGGACAAUGGGGGCAACCCUGUUCCAGCAAUGCCGCCUGAGGGAAGAAGACCUUCGGGUUGUAAAGCUCUUUUGUCAGGGAAGAAACAGUAGGAGGGAAUAACUGUUACUAAUGACGGUACCUGAAAAAUAAGCACCGGCUAAAUACGGGCCAGCAGCCGCGG
rnacentral:rRNA from 1 species